rnacentral:rRNA from 1 species
GACGAAGGUGGCUAGCGUUAUUCGGAUUUACUGGGCAUAAAGCGCGCGUAGGCGGCUUGGUAAGUCGGAGGUGAAAGCCUGCAGCUCAACUGCGGUGUGCCUCCGAAACUGCCGAGCUUGAGUGCGGGAGGGGUGAUUGGAACUCCAGGUGUAGCGGUGAAAUGCGUAGAUAUCUGGAGGAACACCAGAGGCGAAGGCGAAUCACUGGACCGCAACUGACGCUGAGGCGCGAAAGCUAGGGGAGCAAACAGG